rnacentral:rRNA from 1 species
UACGGGGGGGAGCAAGCGUUGUUCGGAUUUACUGGGCGUAAAGCGCGCGUAGGCGGAACUUCAAGUCCGGUCUGAAAGCCCCCGGCUCAACCGGGGAGGGUGGCUGGAAACUGGGGUUCUUGAGUGCGGGAGAGGAUGGUGGAAUUCCCAGUGUAGAGGUGAAAUUCGUAGAUAUUGGGAAGAACACCGGUGGCGAAGGCGGCCAUCUGGACCGCAACUGACGCUGAGGCGCGAAAGCGUGGGGAGCAAACAGGG